UAAAAGAUCAUACAAUCCUUAUUAUAUCUCAAUUUUAAAAAGAAAUCAAGGACCGACUGUUACGUAAUCAUGCAGUAGUUUAACAAUAUUUGUUUACAGUUCAUGCUUCUAAAAAGAGAAAUUUGAGCCAUCCGGUGCGUCAUUUAAGUAGAUAAGUUGUUUUUGUUCAUUUGCAUGUGAUAUAAGUAGUAUAAAUAUAGUGUUUUAAACCAAAUACAUAUUAAGUCACUGAAGUCUACAAAAUACACGUUUUAAGAGGUCCUUGAAGUCUACAUACAGCAAACUGUGAGAUGGAAACUAAAUAUCUGUUUAUGCUUUUGAUUGCACUUCAUACUGUUUUUAUGUAUACAGUUGAUGCACUGCAAUCUAUCAUGGUACCAUCAAAUAUUCCAGGAUCAAGCUAUUGUGGAAAAGGUAGAAGAGUAAUUGGACAAUAUACAGUUGGUGUGAACUAAAACAUACUUUUUGUCAUAUGUUCAAAGUAGUUGAACAUGAACAUUUAUAGACGGUUCAAGUGAGACGUUCUACAACAUUGUAGAUGAUGCAACACACAAGUGAUAUCGGGGGAGACAUAAAAUCCACAUCAGUAACCACAUUAUUCAAGGGAUUCUGCUGAUAAAAGAUUUUGUAUAACAGUCGUUUUUAUUAACUAUAGAAUAAAAUAACUA